CUGACCGGUACUUAACCGUACCUUCUCUUCGGAGCAGGAGUGACAGGUGGUGCAUGGUUGUCGUCAGCUCGUGUCGUGAGAUGUUGGGUUAAGUCCCGCAACGAGCGCAACCCUUAUCUUUAAUAGCCAGCGGUCUGGCCGGGCACUCUAGAGAGACUGCCAGGGAUAACCUGGAGGAAGGCGGGGAUGACGUCAAAUCAUCAUGCCCCUUAUGACUUGGGCUACACACGUGCUACAAUGGCGUAAACAAAGGGAAGCAAAGCUGUGAAGCUGAGCAAAUCUCAAAAAUAACGUCUCAGUUCGGACUGUAGUCUGCAACCCGACUACACGAAGCUGGAAUCGCUAGUAAUCGCAGAUCAGAAUGCUGCGGUGAAUACGUUCCCGGGUCUUGUACACACCGCCCGUCACACCAUGGGAGUUGGGAAUGCCCGAAGCCAGUGACCUAACCGAAAGGAAGGAGCUGUCGAAGGCAGGCUCGAUAACUGGGGUGAAGUCGUAACAAGGUACCCG
rnacentral:rRNA from 1 species